GGUUAAGCGACUAAGCGUACACGGUGGAUGCCCUGGCAGUCAGAGGCGAUGAAGGACGUGCUAAUCUGCGAAAAGCGUCGGUAAGGUGAUAUGAACCGUUAUAACCGGCGAUGUCCGAAUGGGGAAACCCAGUGUGAUUCGUCACACUAUCGUUAACUGAAUACAUAGGUUAACGAGGCGAACCGGGGGAACUGAAACAUCUAAGUACCCCGAGGAAAAGAAAUCAACCGAGAUUCCCCCAGUAGCGGCGAGCGAACGGGGAGCAGCCCAGAGUCUGAAUCAGCUUGUGUGUUAGUGGAACGGUCUGGAAAGUCCGACGGUACAGGGUGAUAGUCCCGUACACCAAAAUGCACAGGCUGUGAACUCGAAGAGUAGGGCGGGACACGUGGUAUCCUGUCUGAAUAUGGGGGGACCAUCCUCCAAGGCUAAAUACUCCUGACUGACCGAUAGUGAACCAGUACCGUGAGGGAAAGGCGAAAAGAACCCCGGCGAGGGGAGUGAAAAAGAACCUGAAACCGUGUACGUACAAGCAGUGGGAGCACCUUCGGGUGUGACUGCGUACCUUUUGUAUAAUGGGUCAGCGACUUAUAUUCUGUAGCAAGGUUAACCGUAUAGGGGAGCCGCAGGGAAACCGAGUCUUAACUGGGCGUUAAGUUGCAGGGUAUAGACCCGAAACCCGGUGAUCUAGCCAUGGGCAGGUUGAAGGUUGGGUAACACUAACUGGAGGACCGAACCGACUAAUGUUGAAAAAUUAGCGGAUGACUUGUGGCUGGGGGUGAAAGGCCAAUCAAACCGGGAGAUAGCUGGUUCUCCCCGAAAGCUAUUUAGGUAGCGCCUCGUGAACUCAUCUUCGGGGGUAGAGCACUGUUUCGGCUAGGGGGUCAUCCCGACUUACCAACCCGAUGCAAACUACGAAUACCGAAGAAUGUUAUCACGGGAGACACACGGCGGGUGCUAACGUCCGUCGUGAAGAGGGAAACAACCCAGACCGCCAGCUAAGGUCCCAAAGUCAUGGUUAAGUGGGAAACGAUGUGGGAAGGCACAGACAGCCAGGAUGUUGGCUUAGAAGCAGCCAUCAUUUAAAGAAAGCGUAAUAGCUCACUGGUCGAGUCGGCCUGCGCGGAAGAUGUAACGGGGCUAAACCAUGCACCGAAGCUGCGGCAGCGACACUAUGUGUUGUUGGGUAGGGGAGCGUUCUGUAAGCCUGCGAAGGUGACCUGUGAGGGUUGCUGGAGGUAUCAGAAGUGCGAAUGCUGACAUAAGUAACGAUAAAGCGGGUGAAAAGCCCGCUCGCCGGAAGACCAAGGGUUCCUGUCCAACGUUAAUCGGGGCAGGGUGAGUCGACCCCUAAGGCGAGGCCGAAAGGCGUAGUCGAUGGGAAACAGGUUAAUAUUCCUGUACUUGGUGUUACUGCGAAGGGGGGACGGAGAAGGCUAUGUUAGCCGGGCGACGGUUGUCCCGGUUUAAGCAUGUAGGCUGAUUGUCCAGGCAAAUCCGGAUAAUCAAGGCUGAGGUGUGAUGACGAGGCACUACGGUGCUGAAGUAACAAAUGCCCUGCUUCCAGGAAAAGCCUCUAAGCAUCAGGUAACAUUAAAUCGUACCCCAAACCGACACAGGUGGUCAGGUAGAGAAUACCAAGGCGCUUGAGAGAACUCGGGUGAAGGAACUAGGCAAAAUGGUGCCGUAACUUCGGGAGAAGGCACGCUGGUGUGUAGGUGAAGUCCCUGCGGAUGGAGCUGAGACCAGUCGAAGAUACCAGCUGGCUGCAACUGUUUAUUAAAAACACAGCACUGUGCAAACACGAAAGUGGACGUAUACGGUGUGACGCCUGCCCGGUGCCGGAAGGUUAAUUGAUGGGGUUAUCCGUAAGGAGAAGCUCUUGAUCGAAGCCCCGGUAAACGGCGGCCGUAACUAUAACGGUCCUAAGGUAGCGAAAUUCCUUGUCGGGUAAGUUCCGACCUGCACGAAUGGCGUAAUGAUGGCCAGGCUGUCUCCACCCGAGACUCAGUGAAAUUGAACUCGCUGUGAAGAUGCAGUGUACCCGCGGCAAGACGGAAAGACCCCGUGAACCUUUACUAUAGCUUGACACUGAACAUUGAGCCUUGAUGUGUAGGAUAGGUGGGAGGCUUUGAAGCGUGGACGCCAGUCUGCGUGGAGCCAACCUUGAAAUACCACCCUUUAAUGUUUGAUGUUCUAACGUUGGCCCCUUACCGGGGUUGCGGACAGUGUCUGGUGGGUAGUUUGACUGGGGCGGUCUCCUCCCAAAGCGUAACGGAGGAGCACGAAGGUUAGCUAAUCCUGGUCGGACAUCAGGAGGUUAGUGCAAUGGCAUAAGCUAGCUUGACUGCGAGCGUGACGGCGCGAGCAGGUGCGAAAGCAGGUCAUAGUGAUCCGGUGGUUCUGAAUGGAAGGGCCAUCGCUCAACGGAUAAAAGGUACUCCGGGGAUAACAGGCUGAUACCGCCCAAGAGUUCAUAUCGACGGCGGUGUUUGGCACCUCGAUGUCGGCUCAUCACAUCCUGGGGCUGAAGUAGGUCCCAAGGGUAUGGCUGUUCGCCAUUUAAAGUGGUACGCGAGCUGGGUUUAGAACGUCGUGAGACAGUUCGGUCCCUAUCUGCCGUGGGCGCUGGAGAAUUGAGGGGGGCUGCUCCUAGUACGAGAGGACCGGAGUGGACGCAUCACUGGUGUUCGGGUUGUCAUGCCAAUGGCACUGCCCGGUAGCUAAAUGCGGAAGAGAUAAGUGCUGAAAGCAUCUAAGCACGAAACUUGCCCCGAGAUGAGUUCUCCCUGAGACUUUAAGUCUCCUGAAGGAACGUUGAAGACGACGACGUUGAUAGGCCGGGUGUGUAAGCGCAGCGAUGCGUUGAGCUAACCGGUACUAAUGAACCGUGAGGCUUAACCUU
rnacentral:rRNA from 1 species